rnacentral:rRNA from 1 species
GAUGAACGCUGGCGGCGUGCCUAAUACAUGCAAGUCGAGCGAACAGAUGAGGAGCUUGCUCCUCUGACGUUAGCGGCGGACGGGUGAGUAACACGUGGAUAACCUACCUAUAAGACUGGGAUAACUUCGGGAAACCGGAGCUAAUACCGGAUAAUAUAUUGAACCGCAUGGUUCAAUAGUGAAAGACGGUUUUGCUGUCACUUAUAGAUGGAUCCGCGCUGCAUUAGCUAGUUGGUAAGGUAACGGCUUACCAAGGCGACGAUGCGUAGCCGACCUGAGAGAGUGAUAGGCGACACGAGAACGGAGACACGGUCCAGGCUCCUGCGGGAGGCAGCAGUAGGGAAUGGUACGCAGUGGGCGAAAGCCUGACGGAGCAGCGCCGCGUGAGUGAUGAAGGUGUUCGGAGCGGAAAGCUCUGUUAUUAGGGAAGAACAGAUGUGUAAGUAACUGUGCACGUCUUGACGGUACCUAAUCAGAAAGCCACGGCUAACUACGUG